CACAUGACUCUCGGCAACGGAUAUCUCGGCUCUCGCAUCGAUGAAGAACGUAGCAAAAUGCGAUACCUGGUGUGAAUUGCAGAAUCCCGUGAACCAUCGAGUUUUUGAACGCAAGUUGCGCCCAAGACCUUCUGGUUGAGGGCACGUCUGCCUGGGCGUCACGC
rnacentral:rRNA from 2 species